CUGGAAUCCUUCCUACAGGGACCUGCCUGAAGCUCUUUUACAGUUAACGUAUUUUUUUGUAAGUAGGAGUAUACUCUAAAAUAACCAUAAAAUGUAGUAUAGUAAAUACAUAAACCAGUAACUUAGUCAUUUAUUAUGACAAUCUAGUAUUAUGUACUAUACAUAAUUGCAUGUGCUAGACUUUUGUAAGACUGGCAGAGCAAUAGGUGUGUUUAUACCACCAUCACCGCCAACAGCCUUCUGAGCACAGCAUGCACAACAGCCACUUGUGGGUCUAGGAGACAACCCAAUGGAGAUAUGGCUGGUAUUGGAGAAGUGCAAGAACCUGGACACCAGACUGUUGUUAAAAAAAAAAUGCUGCUCUCCUUCCCUGAGUGGGUGGCACUUGUUGAUUGACAAUCGUGGAUGGGAAAGAGGAAUGCUAUUUAUUAAACCUGCUGAAUUCCGAGAAAACUGACAUGAAUCUCAGUUUGCAGAUAGAAAGACUGAGUCUCUGAGUGUGAACAAGCCAACUAAGUUCAUGUCAUUAGCAAAGGAAAGGAGCUCAUAUUUGAAGCCAUCUGUCUGGUUCUAUAACCUAACCUCAUGGCCACCUUGCUGAUUUUUUGUUCUUCUCUUGUUCCUGGGUUGAAUACAUACUUUCUUUCCCUAUUAAUGAAAUCAGGUUCUUUCUUUCAACUAAUUAAGUACUUACUUGGUAAUGGAAGGAAUUAGAAUGAGUAGAAGGUCUCAGAAUCCAUUGCUCUUCUAAGCUAAUGU
rnacentral:lncRNA from 13 species